rnacentral:rRNA from 1 species
CCCGCUCAGAAACUCAAGGAUUGACGGGGCCCGCACAAGCGGUGGAGCAUGUGGUUUAAUUCGACGCAACGCGAAGAACCUUACCAGGGCUUGACAUCCCCUGACAGCCAUUGAAAGGUGGUUUUUCUGCCUUCGGGUAGACAGGGAGACAGGUGGUGCAUGGUUGUCGUCAGCUCGUGUCGUGAGAUGUUGGGUUAAGUCCCGCAACGAGCGCAACCCUUUACGUUUAGUUGCUAACGUGUAGAGAUGAGCACUCUAGACGAACUGCCGUUGACAAAACGGAGGAAGGUGGGGAUGACGUCAAAUCAUCAUGCCCCUUAUGUCCUGGGCUACACACGUGCUACAAUGGCCGGUACAAAGGGAAGCGAAGCCGCGAGGUGGAGCAAAUCCGAUAAAAGCCGGUCUCAGUUCGGAUUGCAGGCUGCAAUUCGCCUGCAUGAAGUCGGAAUCGCUAGUAAUCGCAGGUCAGCAUACUGCGGUGAAUACGUUCCCGGGCCUU